rfam:TPA: Bos taurus chromosome 7, whole genome shotgun sequence.
UCCCUGGCAGUCCAGUGGUUAGGACUCCACCUAGUCUUUCACUGCUGAGGGCCCAGGUUCAAUUCCUGGUUAGGGAA